rnacentral:lncRNA from 1 species
GUUUGCCGCUGGCGUGGCCUGUGAGUCACGCCGAGCCCGAGCGCUGCCAUUGACUCUCCCCGAUCGUCGGUCCCGCAUUCCCGGUCAGCGCUCGGCCUGAGCCACUGCAGCAUCACUGGGGACGAGGCACUGCUUGUUAGGAGGCGGUGAAUGACGGCCUGCCGCUGCCUAGCGAGGCGGUCUUCUGCCGCGUACCUCGCGACGGGAUGCUUGGCUUGGGCUUCCCGGGCCACCAGAAGCUUCGCGUCCACGAAGAGCUCCACGCUGGACAGCCAGAAUUCAGCGUCGUCGUGUUCGAGCUUGGCCAGUUGGUCGGCCUUCUGCUUCCCAGUGGUGCCGCAGUGGUUGGGCACCCCUUCGAAGGCGAGGCCCUUGCCGGCGCCCGCACGAAGUGUAUGGAUUCCGUGCCGACUUUGAAGUUGAAGGAGGUUUAUACUGUGUUUGUGCGCGCGACGUGGAGUGUUUAAGACAGCUUCACUUGUGAUUGCGGUAUAUACCAGUGAUCUCGGAUUACAUGUUCAGGCUUGCUGUCUUCAUGUUGAGUACAUUAUACCUGCCCGAAGUUUUUCAACGGACGUUCGCCCUGUUGCCAGCUUCUAGUGUGCAAGCGUCGUGCAGUGGAGUCCUCGAUAAAUCGUAGCCUCGCCUAAACGUCAAGCGAGCAUUUAAUUUCGCUUAUCAUUUAAAGCCUACUUUUAGGCAUGGAUUUGUUUCGCAAGUCAUUUUGCACCUUGAACAAGGCCACAUUUUGUCUCUCGAACAAGCCCACGAAGAAGAGAGUGAGCGCGACUCAAGCCGUCCAGUUCUCGAUCGCUCGAUCGGCGGUUUUCGGGCGGAAAGAAAACGAAUUUCGAGCUGCGUAUUGUUUUUGGGGUAGGCUUUCGUGUACAAAUAGAAACCUUGGCUAGCAUAAAUACCCUGUCAGUGCCCCUUGAAGGGUCACAGUGUAGCUAGCCUACUUUUAUGUUUUACCUUCUCGAAAGUUUUUUUUUUUUUUUAUGAAUUUCUUUUAGCACAAUUUUUACGCCCUGUAUAAAGAUCAAUGCAUAUUCUGGAAGCUGACAUUUUUUAAAUAGAUUUUCUCUUUCAAAUAUGUGUUCUUGAAUAAAGUUUUUUUCUGUUGUCAUUCUUCCUUGCAUUUCGUAGAACUGCAUCUGUAAAUUGGCACAUAUACGUCUCCCUGUGCUAAGGAUAGUUUAAAUGUAAAUUCAUUAAAAACAGAAAUAUCUUUAAAAAAAUAAAGUUUGAGCAAAAAUUAAAUUUUGAAGCUUAUGCGGAACAAAUCGCCAGCAGUGGAACAAAACACUUCGAUUACUGCACUUAUGAAAGGUUUGUUAGUGCCGGCAGUUGGUUUUAAAAGCUUCCUAUUUUUAAUUUUUUACCUAAUAUGGUUCCAAUACCGAUAAAAUUGCACCGAAUGCAACAUUUAGUGCAACAUUAUCGGUAUAGGAACCAUCUUAGGUCAAAAAUUUAAAUAAAAAGGUUGUAAAACCAACUGGCGCCACUUACAAACCUUCCAUGAUUCCUGUAAUCGUAGAGUUUUCUUUCACUGCUUGAGAUUUGUUUUGAAUAAGCUUCAAAACUUAAAUUUUGCUUAAACUUUAUUUUUUAAGAUAUUUCUGUUUAUAAUAAGUUUGCUGGUGUUUUUAAAUACAGUUUUAUAUAGAUUCGUUUUACGAAUUCCUAAGUAACUUGAAGGAAGCUAAAAGUACAUUCGAAGCGCCAGCCCUACAUUUUGGAGUUCGCGAGAAGUAUGCCAAAGUUGCGUGAAGAAUACGAUAUAAAUACAUUCAAAGUGCCUGCCCUACGUUUUGGAGUUCAUGAGAAUUAUGACAAUAUUUCGUCAAGAAUGCGGUAAAAGUACAUUUGUAGUACGCUCAAGUGCGGCCAAUUAAAUUUCAACAAAAUUUGUGAAAAAUAUUUAUAUUAAGUUCCUCAUAAAUAUAUUCGAAAUAUGCGGUUUUUCGCCAAGGGUUGCUUGUUUCGUUUCUGUCGCAUUACUCAUUGCCCCCUUGGAAUUGCAUGAGGAGCAAUAUUCCUCUGUCGCACUUGCGCAAUAAACCAAUUUUAAUGACUCAAA